AUCUCUUGUGGGUCCUUUCACUGGAUUGAUGCUCUGAGCAAGAAUCAAUGGGCCUCCAAGCACAGCAGACUCCUUUGUUCGUUCUUCAUGGGUGAGAAGACAGCACAAGACAAGAGGAUAGACCCAAAAAUAUGCCAGGCAGAAGAGGAUCCCUUUUGUGUUGGUGUUCCAUCAUGAUCUGGAGCAGGAGCCUACAGGACACACCAGGUCAACUCAAGGAGGUACAGAUAAAGAUGGGACUCUGGGGCCAUGGAAAAAGCCAAGUAAGCAACUUGCUCCAACAAGGCUUGAAGUCCAAGUGAGGCUUUUCUAGAUCUUGAUCUGGGAAACCCCUCUCAGGAAGGACCUCACAUCUCUUGGAGAAUGUUGAACUUAAAGGGCACUCCAUCUGCUCUUGGCUCCUGACUUGUGAUGGUGAUCAGUGAGGGGCCGCCAGGUGAGGAUGUUUUCAUCCUUUGAGGAUCUCAGUGGGUGCAGUCUCUGGGACCUCUGUUCAAGGAUCUUUUGGUGGACAGGCUUUGCUUCUGAGUCUAGCUUUUACAAGGCCUUUGCUGCUGAAACUUCUGAGUUGACUGGCCUUUUCUCAUCAUGAUUGGAGCCCAAGUUUCUGCCUGCUAUGGGGCUCAUGACAGCUUGGUACUUUGGAUAUUUUCUACAAUAAUAAUAAUAAUAAUCUUGAACUCCAACAGGAAAGGGCUUAAUUCCCUCAAGAUUCACAACUAUAGAUCUUCAUGUUUUGCCAAAAGGUUUCCCUUUAAUUCCCUGCUGUGUGCUUUCCAUAUUCAUAGCUCUAAUAAUUACACUGUAACUAAAAUAUUCUAAUCUUUCGGUGAGCUAAUUAAAACGUAUUUGUGUUAUGUUCAUUUGCUAAUAAUGGAUUAUGAUGCUAUGCAUUCAUUUAGUAAUUUAAUGAGGAUGGGUCCAAUCAAAGCAAAAAUGAUGCCACAUAACCGCUCCUAGGCACAGACUAACUGUUCUGAACAUAUUUGUUUCUUCAUAAUCCCGAUAUCUGAUCCUGAAGUCAUAAGUAGCAGCCACAUUACAUAAAUCUGUUGGAAGUUG